UGGAUCAAUGAUGAGUGUGCUAUUAACCAAGGAUUAUGAUUCAUUUAUUUCUAUGGACCUGAAGUCCAGU
rnacentral:snoRNA from 1 species